GGCCGUUUAGUCUAGUGGUAUGAUUCUCGCUUCGGGUGCGAGAGGUCCCGGGUUCGAUUCCCGGAACGG
rnacentral:tRNA from 1 species